UAACCCUAGCCCCGAUCCACAACCCCAUGCCCCUCGCUCCUCCCUCCCUCGUCCGCCGCCACUCCCUCCCACCUCCUCCUCCUGCGCCCUAGGAGCCCCGCCGCCGACUGCUACUUCUCCACCGCCUCGCCUCUUCCUCCUCCUCGCCUUCCCAUCGCUCGGGCGCAGGCUGCUGUGGCCAAGCGCUUCGCGGGCGAACCCGUCUCCACCGCCUGCUCUGGGUUCGCGCGGGACGGGCUCCCCCGCGUGGCCGGCCUCGACGAGCACGACCUCGAUCCGGCCUCAGCCGGAGGACCUCGAGCCGAGGAGUGCGGCCUCGAUCGGGACUCGGCAUGUGGGGUGACGGCGGAGGAGGGGAAAGGAGGGGAGCAGCAACCAACAUCUUGGGCGGCGGUGGCUGGACUCCAUGAGCUGGCCGGCGACGGUGGCGGUGCUGGAUUCGAUCUGCAGGUGAGAGAGGGAGGUGUGGCUUCGAAUUGGAGAGGGACUCCACCGGCGUCGGCCCGCGCGAGGAUUGGUGCCGCUCUCCUCGUAGGCCCUCGCUCCAGGUCGCCGAGGAGGGGCUGUAGCCGAGUCUGCAUAGUUGAGGGUAGGGAGGGCUGAGGUGGGAGGGGAAGGAGAUGGUCAUGGAUCUACUCGAGAAGGUGAGAGGACGAAGACAGAGGGGGUGCUCGAGGUGGUCAAGGCGGAGCAGCAGAGGACGGCUCGUCCACGAGCUCAAGUUUAAGGCGGACGGCGGCCUCAACGGGUGGGUGACGACAUCUACACCUGGUUCCACCUUGCUGUGGCAAAAUAGGAGGCCAUUCGUGCAGUCAUGCAGCGGAUGGAGUCCUCGGCAGGUGGGUGAUGGAGGCUGUAGAUGAUGCACGAUGACGGCUCCCAGCGAGGUUCUAUUAAAUGUGAACAUGUUUGCGUCAAGGCUUUGUUGAUGGUUGAAGAAGAAAUCAAGGUCGCCAAAACUCGGGUGCUGCUGAAUUGCUAGAUUACUCCACUGCAAAAAACGCUGGACAGUGGCAAGAAGGAAGAGCUCGGGCCACCCGCGAUGCCAGGCCGCCGGCCCUCCUCCCUCAAGCUCAAGGCGGCGAAGAGAUGGUUGAGCUGGUGUUGCAGCUCCGCAGAAUGCAGACAAUUAAAUGAUUCUGCCCGUGCUAUCAAAGUGGCCUCUCAGACUGAAGAAGGUGCCACUGCUGAAAAUAUUGUUCAGCCUGCAUCCGUGCUAAAUGUUGGAGAGGAAACUGAAAGUGCAUCUGCUGAGGAUCCAAAGAACAUGCUUCCUGACCCCUCUAAGACCAAAAGAACAGGCAAUGCCGCCAAGGGAGUUGGCGCACCAAAGAAAGCGAGGCAGUAGUUCUUCCAUGGAGCACUUCUUCCAUGCCGUUAUCUAGAUAUGUACAUACGGUAUCUUCUAUAUUCUGCUUGCUUAUCAAGCGAAGUCUAUGCUGGAAGGGUAUCAUGCUGACCAUUAAUUGAAUUUCUCUUACAGAAACCAAUAUUAAUUUAUUCAGAGAACAUCCUUAUUUUUAUUUGUGAGAUAAUUAAAAAAGAUGUUUAUCUUUCCGAGCGACAUCGGACAUCCUAUAAUUUUGAGCACCGCCUCGAAGCAACCAGAAAUAGUUUCUGGUAGACUUUGGUCAAUGUAUCCUGGCCUGCAUGCUUUGGUUGUUACGAAAACAGCCACCUUUUGUUUCGCAUCAAUGAGACCAAUAUCUUUCCCCUUUCGGAGAACUCCGAGCAAGCUAUAUAUAAACUUUAGUCUUCCCCUGCUGCUUCUAUGGUGAAAAGUACUGUGUAAUGUAGUCUAUCAUCUUUAGAUUAUAUUGUUCUCUUUGUAGUGAAAAGCGGUUUAUCACCGCUUAUUGUAUAUAUAUGUGAAGAACUCUUCUGCUACUGUUUCCUGAAAACUAUGACUCAAGAAACAAGCUUCCUUUUAUGCAUGCUUUUGCUUCAAUGCUUUCAUCAGAGCUUCCCCCUGAUCACGUCUUCCGAUCACAGUGUAUGCAAUAAAUUAAAAGCAAUUACAUUCCUGUUUAUUUUACAAACGCUCUUCAACAACAACUACAUCUGCAGAAAGUCAAGAUUACUUUCCUACAUGACUUAGUGCAUCGUUUUCAAUCUUAUGUGCUCACUACAUAUAGUAUAUGAGCUAUUCUUUUCAUGCAACAAAUAUAUUAAUGCAUUCUCUCACAAUAAUUGGCUUACAUUCGGCCUUUGCGCCAUUGGCGCAACGAGUCAUCUAGUAUAUGAAAACAGCGUGGAGAGAAGCCAACCUGGAGCGUGUCGUGACAUCUUACUUAGCUCUGCUGGUGCUUUGCAGAUUUGGUGUUGCCGUAAGGAUGUAAUUUCCGAGCAUAAGCUGCGCGUUUCUCCUUUACAGACUGUUCAUAAAGCCGCUGCGUUGCUCUUGCAGUGGUUGCCUCUCUUAUACAGGCAAAGCGUAAAGACGCGCUGAUGGUGUUGAAAGGAAAGCUUCAGUCCUUAUGUUUUGUGAGUCUUUGUUGCGCCUGCGUGCGCCGGAGGCGGAUGCUUGAUGCAAGUGUGCCUGGGAACCCUGUAUGUGUCUUGGAUGUUUGGUUCUCUCGGGCCUUCGUUGGUCUGUAAGAGUUGACGUUGGGUACCCGCUCAUUGCCCAAGCUUAAACCUUUGCUUUUUAUAAAGGAGGGCCUGAUGGCCUUUCUUCUAAAAAGUGCUUUGCAAAUUGUGGAUUCUUUGCUGCAGCCGGAGACUAAUGUCUCCUUGCACUCCGUUCCCCUUCUGUGGAAUCUUUGGAAGUCGCGCAAUGCUGUCGUUGCUGGAGUGCCUGGCUCCUCUGCCUGCUGCGGUCUCCACUUCAGCACUGCGCUAGGAGCAGGCAAACUGGUAUCAUUAUGUACUGAUCACUGUAUAAAACAAUGUAUUGAUCAGGAGCCAUCUGAAGAUUUUCUGAAGAUCAACAUCGAUGGCUCCUGCCAGGAGACAAGUACAGGGGCUGCUGGGGCUUCUGCGCCCGUGGUCCAUCUAGGGAUGUAAAUGGCAAAUAGAUGGUGUCUGCAAGUCCCGUUUAGUUAGCUUUACCUAGCUCCAUAGUUCAUUUUCGCAGAAAAUAAAAUAAAAUUUUAAAUUGUUCGAUUAUAUAGUGGGUUUAAACGGGAUUAAAUGGGACCCGGUUGACAUCCCUGGGUCCAUCUGCCAGGCUCCCGUCUAAUUCAUCGUUUGCUCGAGGCUCUCCACGUGGACAUGA